rnacentral:lncRNA from 1 species
UCAAAUGCCACCACCUAAAAGGCAACCAGCUCUGGGAGUAUGACCCAGUGGAAACCACUGAUCUAAGUUCUCCCUAAGAAGAGUUGCUGGUUCUCGAUGUUUCAUUUCAGUGUGAUAUUACAGUGUGCUAGUCCAUAUGGCUGGCUUCUUUUAAAUAAGAAUAGAUAUGUAUGUGUACAUAUAUAAUAUGCAUAUAUACACAUACAUAAAGUAUAGAAUAUAUACUGUAUAGAUGUUUUACCUGCAUGUAAGACUGCACCGUUUGCAUGCCCCAUAGAGGCCAGAAGAGGGCGCUGGAUCCCUGGUACAGGGGUGACAGUUACAAGCCACCGUGAAGGAGCUAGAAAUCGAGCUUGGUCUCUCUUCAACUGCUGAGCUGUGUAUCUCCCGGCCUUUGGUUCACUGUCCUCAUAACAUACUUAGGAAUAUAAAAGCCUUAACUUGUAAUAAAAUAUGGGUUCUUUUGG